AUUGAACGCUGGCGGCAGGCUUAACACAUGCAAGUCGAGCGGGGUGAUGUGCUUCGGUACUGAUCCUAGCGGCGGACGGGUGAGUAAUGCUUAGGAAUCUGCCAUUUAGUGGGGGACAACAUUCCGAAAGGAAUGCUAAUACCGCAUACGUCCUACGGGAGAAAGCAGGGGACCUUCGGACCUUGCGCUAAAUGAUGAGCCUAAGUCGGAUUAGCUAGUUGGUGGGGUAAAGGCCUACCAAGGCGACGAUCUGUAGCGGGUCUGAGAGGAUGAUCCGCCACAAUGGGACUGAGACACGGCCCAGACUCCUACGGGAGGCAGCAGUGGGGAAUAUUGGACAAUGGGCGCAAGCCUGAUCCAGCCAUGCCGCGUGUGUGAAGAAGGCCUUAUGGUUGUAAAGCACUUUAAGCGAGGAGGAGGCUACUUUAGUUAAUACCUAGAGAUAGUGGACGUUACUCGCAGAAUAAGCACCGGCUAACUCUGUGCCAGCAGCCGCAGUAAGAC
rnacentral:rRNA from 1 species